AUCCUGCUUGUCCAACUUGGAAAGCAUACUGUCAGGAGACAAGGCAAGGGCUGUUUCUUGCCCACUGGCUAUCUUUUUCCACAAAGAAAGUAAACUCCUUAUAGAGCUUCUUUGAUGUCCAUCAUCUUCUUUGAAGUAGAUUGUAUUAGGGUCCCAUAGA